rnacentral:rRNA from 1 species
CAGUCGCCACGGUAAAACGUAGAUGGCAAGCGUUGUCCGGAAUUAUUGGGCGUAAAGGGCUCGCAGGCGGUUUCUUAAGUCUGAUGUGAAAGCCCCCGGCUCAACCGGGGAGGGUCAUUGGAAACUGGGAAACUUGAGUGCAGAAGAGGAGAGUGGAAUUCCACGUGUAGCGGUGAAAUGCGUAGAGAUGUGGAGGAACACCAGUGGCGAAGGCGUCUCUCUGGUCUGUAACUGACGCUGAGGAGCGAAAGCGUGGGGAGCGAACAGGAUUAGAUACCCCAGUAGUCCCUGUCUCUUAUAC